GGAGGCGUUCAGGUGGCUGGUGCCCCUCCCGGUCUUCAAAACCGGUGCAACUCGGCAUCCGAGUUGGGCGGGUUCGAUUCCCGUCCGCCUCCGCCA
rnacentral:tRNA from 1 species